CCCAUCAGUCAGCGGCGGACGGGUGAGUAACACGUGGGUAACCUGCCUGUAAGACUGGGAUAACUCCGGGAAACCGGGGCUAAUACCGGAUAACUCAUUUCCUCGCAUGAGGAAAUGUUGAAAGGUGGCUUUUAGCUAUCACUUACAGAUGGACCCGCGGCGCAUUAGCUAGUUGGUGAGGUAACGGCUCACCAAGGCGACGAUGCGUAGCCGACCUGAGAGGGUGAUCGGCCACACUGGGACUGAGACACGGCCCAGACUCCUACGGGAGGCAGCAGUAGGGAAUCUUCCGCAAUGGACGAAAGUCUGACGGAGCAACGCCGCGUGAGUGAUGAAGGUUUUCGGAUCGUAAAACUCUGUUGUUAGGGAAGAACAAGUACCGUUCGAAUAGGGCGGUACCUUGACGGUACCUAACCAGAAAGCCACGGCUAACUACGUGCCAGCAGCCGCGGUAAUACGUAGGUGGCAAGCGUUGUCCGGAAUUAUUGGGCGUAAAGCGCGCGCAGGUGGUUUCUUAAGUCUGAUGUGAA
rnacentral:rRNA from 2 species